rnacentral:rRNA from 1 species
UACGUAGGCAGCAAGCGUUGUUCGGAAUUACUGGGCGUAAAGAGUGUGUAGGCGGUGUUCUAAGUCUGUUGUGAAAUCUCCCGGCUUAACUGGGAGGGUGCGGCGGAAACUGGAAUGCUAGAGGAUGGGAGAGGUAAGCGGAAUUCCUGGUGUAGCGGUGAAAUGCGUAGAUAUCAGGAGGAACACCGGUGGUGUAGACGGCUCUCUGGACCGUAACUGACGCUGAGACACGAAAGCGUGGGUAGCAAACAGG